CCAGCUCCCGCUCGUCCCUAGGUCUGGCGUUUGCUGUUAGCCAGGCCGUAGCAUGGAUGGGGUGGGAAACCCCCCAGGCUGCCACGUGCUCUUCCGCGAGCAGCGGCUUGUCCCGUUAAUGCAUCAUCAGCCGGCGCGGCCUUGGGAGGGCUGUGUGAGCCUGACCCAGACAAGCAGUUCUUGCAUAGGCCUCCUCCUUUUAAUUAGUUGUAAUCUCACUUCAGGUGGACGGGUGUUAGGUUUGUACCCAGGCUGCAUUCGUUAGUGGCGAUGCCCCGUCACCCGCUGGUUUAUGGCCGUGCGUGUGCCGCCCCCGCAGCCCCGCGCAGCGAUGCGGGGAACCCACCGCUGUGCCUGGAGCGCUCGGGGCGAGGUGGGAGGCUGUAGGUCUGUCCUCGGGCAGGCUUGCGCCAAACAGCAGCCGAGACUAGACCGAGUAAAAGAGACACUUUGUAGCUGAGGUGCAUCCUUUUUUACCGUUUUUUUUAACUAUUAAAAAAAGCUGUUUGAGUUAGAUUGAAAUUCAUGAUUACAGUAAUUGCACUGUUCACUUUCGUCCUCUUGAUUAACCCCGCUGGAGCCAAGGGCAGAGAUCACCCCUCUGCUGAGCGAGGGCCUUCCCCCGGUACCUCCAAGGUGCCAGUUAGGCCUCGCACUCGGCAGCCGAGCUCCCGUCGCCGUCUGCGAGUGGCGGGGCAGCUUGGCCAGGCCGUGCCUCGCCUAAGGGAGCCCGCCUUUCCUCUCCGGCCGAGGCAGGCACGAAACGGGUAGGGGUCACGGGUGACGAAGACGCGGCAGGACAUCCCUUGGGACGCCUUCGGUCAGAGCCUGCGUGCCCCCAGACGUCACAUUGUUCCAGUCCAUUUCCAAGCACAUGUUGAAUUAAUACCUCAUCGCUUGUCCUGCACCGCUCAGGAGCACGAGACAGAAGUCGAACAGCAGCGGUUGUCCCGACCUGGUUCAGCCACCCCUGUCCAAUGGAGAGCGGCUCUUCUUGGGACUUUCCAUCUUUUGCCUGAUUCAAGCUGAUGCUGUCAAGGAGACCUAAAAGACGUCCUAAGACUAUGCUGCACGCAGAACGCUUAGAAAGUUGCAUUAGGAAAAUCCUAGCCCUGAUGGUCUCUAAUCGCAUGAGACGUCCACGCUGUGCUUCAGGAUCUCCGAGUGCCGCGGCGUGAUGACGCUGGAGCAAAUACGGCUGCAGAGGAGCGAUUGCUGAUGUCGGCAGGCUGAGGAACUCCGCUAAGUCAAAGGAGCUUUGGCCAUCGGAUGUUUUUCCCAGGGUGAGUGCUGUGCUAACGUCACCCCUGAAUCUUCC